UGGGAUUGAUUCGAGCAAGGCGAACCGCAGAUGCCGCGUGUGUGAAGAAGGCCUUCGGGUUGUAAAGCACUUUUGUCCGGAAAGAAAUCCUUGGCUCUAAUACAGUCGGGGGAUGACGGUACCGGAAGAAUAAGCACCGGCUAACUACGUGCCAGCAGCCGCGGUAAUACGUAGGGUGCAAGCGUUAAUCGGAAUUACUGGGCGUAAAGCGUGCGCAGGCGGUUUGCUAAGACCGAUGUGAAAUCCCCGGGCUCAACCUGGGAACUGCAUUGGUGACUGGCAGGCUAGAGUAUGGCAGAGGGGGGUAGAAUUCCACGUGUAGCAGUGAAAUGCGUAGAGAUGUGGAGGAAUACCGAUGGCGAAGGCAGCCCCCUGGGCCAAUACUGACGCUCAUGCACGAAAGCGUGGGGAGCAAACAGGAUUAGAUACCCUGGUAGUCCACGCCCUAAACGAUGUCAACUAGUUGUUGGGGAUUCAUUUCCUUAGUAACGUAGCUAACGCGUGAAGUUGACCGCCUGGGGAGUACGGUCGCAAGAUUAAAACUCAAAUGAAUUGACGGGGUCAUA
rnacentral:rRNA from 1 species